UCUCCAGUCCCGCUAAAUAUCAUCGGUGCACUGGCACCCCACGUCCACAUCUGCAGAACUGAUGUCCAACUGGCUCCCUGACGUUGGGUGGCAGGAAAAUCUCAAACCCAGCAUGUCCAAGAUCCCGCCCCCGCCACACACACGCCAUAUUCCUCCUAGUGAAAUAUUUACCUGGGCCAAAAGAUGCUGGAAUCAUCCUGAACAUAAAUCUUGCUAACGCAGUUUUCAACACAGGUCCUCACCACCCUCCACUGCUUCCUGAAGUUGCCACUGAUGGCUGGACCAUUGGGACUGCCUCUUCCCUGCCCUCCUGACCUCCACUGCAUGCUGCAUUUGGCAUCAGAGUGAUCGUAUUGAGACAAAUUGAAUAGGAAGGAGCAUGAUGAAAAGAUUUGCUGUGUGUCUGCCCCCCUGCUCUCAGCCCGGCAGGGCCAGACCUGAGCUUCCCAUCACCGUCUACACGAGGAAGGAAGCUGGAACUCGAUGCUGGUGAAGCAAUCUUAAGGGACCUUGACCACACCUUGUGUCUGUACUCUAUUAUGGAGGAAAGUGAGCUUAUGUGAUAAAACGAUGCUCUAGAAUUUAUACAAUUUGCCUUGGGGGGAAAUAGAGCCAGUGGAGAGCUUCGUGGGGGCAGAAGCAGGGAGCGUGGUCCUAGCCACACAGGCAGGCAGGUGCAGUCCCGUACUCAGUAUGUGGGUCUUAAAAAAGUUAUUGGAGCAUUACGGGUUACAAGUAUAAAACGUGCUCACUGACGGUUAACCAAGCUGCCCUCAGCAGAGUAAAUUGGUGACGGUGAAGGAAGAAGCAGCCGUAAUUCCCAAUCGCAGGGCGAAACCAGCACCAAGGGACCGGUCUGAGACCGUGCCUCCCAGGGAGGCACCGGGUUCGUAGCGGGCCACGGCCCAGGGCUCUUCCCCCGGCUCUGGCGGAGAGCACACAUUCGAGGCGCCGGAAGAUUCUCAUGGUGUAUCACCCUCUGGCCGUGGAAAACACACUCAGUGACCGCUCGGCUGCUAGCGGGUAAUUCAUGGUCAUGUGAAGAUCCCAGAGUCCACACUGUCAGCCCCUGAAGACGAGAAGGAAGGAGGACGUGGCUGAGGGUCUCUUCGGAGUCUGUUGGGUCCGUGGGUCAGCGGGGCCGGGACCAGGCUGACGUCUGCUCUGGCCAAAGUGGCCCCUGUUGCUAGAGGUUGCCUUGCACGGCCUUCCCUCUGCUGUGCUCUCUCUUUCCUCUCCCGAGGCCCCGUGUGAACCUCGCCGCCUCGGUGAGUGUCAUCCCCCAAGGUGACUCUGUGGGAGGCCGGGACCCCACAUGAUCCCGUCACCUGGAACCCAUCCCAGGAAGACUCUUACAGCCGUGACUGAACUUUGAAGCCCGCAGAUCACGAUGAUUUGAAACAUUUCGAAAAACGGCCGGGGCCUCUGCUCCCUGAGCCCUCAGCAGGACCCUGCAAAGCCAGGACCCGGUGGGAAGGGGCCCCAGGCACUGAGGCCUCCUCCCUUGUCUGGCAGGCAGUUCGUGCCUGGAGACCUGCCGGGAAGGGCGCAGGGACACAGUAGACCCGGCCUCCUCGGGGGUGGGAGAGGGGUCCUUACCCUGCAGGCACAAGGGGCGGGCCUGUACUGGGGCCACAUCACCGGUGCCGACACUGCUCCAAACGCAGCCCGGAAGGAGAGAGGGGUGGCGGUGGGAGCAGCGGACAGCCACCCACAGCGGCUCCCACACGGUAAGUCGCCCACACAGAGCGGGUUUUACUGCCGCUGUUACUUCCUGCAAGAGAGCCGGGGCCCGCGGCUCACACAACUGCCUCCCACAGCUGCAUAUUCCUUGGGGCUGGAGUUCAAGCCCCACGACGGGGCGGUUGUCCUGUGGGCCAGCUGGAGCCAGCAGGCGAGUGGGGAGUCCUGCAGUGGGCUAAGCCUGGCCCGUCCCUCACCGGCAAAGUGACCCUGAGUGUGUGCAGACGUCUCUCGGGCCUCGGUGGCCCCGCUCUGGAAGGGGACGUUCACGCCUCGCGGUGCGGCAAGGAAGCCAUUCACUUGGUGCCUCUCACACGCUGCUGCCGGUGCUCAGACCCCUCCGUUCCCACGCGGCUCAGUCCCUGCGCUUAGAGCACCUCUCCGUUGCCUUGGUGGGUCGUUGGGGGCAAGGCCCUGGGCCAGAUGAGCCAGGUCCACACCCGGCCAUCGCUUGGCUUCCUGAGCCGUGGCUUCUGCCCCGAGCGAUGGUGGGCAGGUAUACCCCUCCCCCUCCCAGGGCUUUGGGAAGGGUGCUGGAGAGUGGGCUCUGCGUGUCCAACGGAGAGCCAGAGCCAGAGCUCUGAGUGGCCGGGGCUCAGCCCUGCGCGUAGCACAGGGGAUGCUUUAUGAACACACGCGAUUGCUCUGGCUUUCCUGCUUCCUAAAUGAAGGCUUUCAGCUGAGUGCAGUCAUGGGGGAGCUGUUCGCUGCUAAUAAGCACACACAGAGCCUCGGUGAAGUGCCACCAGGGCGCCUGCACCGUGUUCUGGGUCCUGCAGAGGCCUCACAGGACGCAGAGGGGUAGACACAGAGUUGUAAGAGUCUGGUGGUGUCAGAUCCCUGCUGCCCGGGGGUCUGGGGGAAGACGGGACAGAGUAGUUGAGUGUGUUUUUAAUCAGACUGUCUCCUUCCUCUCAACAUUGAGGACAUCACUCUGAUGUCCACGAGCACUUGCUGAUCUGAGUGAAGAAGGCCAAACUGGAUAGCACUUGCAAGACAGGUUUAUCUCCAAGUUGCCAGUGAUCAUUCCAUCUUUUCCUGGGUAGAGGGGAAUAAUUUUGGAAAGACAUUACUUGGAAUUAAAAGGCAUUUGCCAUACGCUGUUUUAUGCAUAAUGUAAUUUAUAGGUUUGCCAAUUAGACAUGAAAAUUCAGAUACCAGACAAAUAAAGUCUGAUAUUUGGAGGCAAAUGCGAGAUUCAAGAGAGAGACGAAAUUACAACAAAACAUCUUCUUCGGAGCUUUCGAAUGCCCAGGUCUGGAGCAAAAGCCCCAUGCUGACACCCCAGCAGGUGUGGGGUUGUCCAGUCCUCCCUGGGGAGCAGUGACCCCUGCAGUUGCUUCAGGUGCACUGCAGCCCCCCUCCGCCCCUCCCCUGUCACAGCAAUGGCUUCGGGUAACGCAGCCAGUACUGACAGCCUCCUGGCCAAAUCACGAAAGUUCCUGGUCUCCUCCAGUUGUUGGGUGCAGGCCCCAGGUGGGCCCUCCUCCUGAGGCUCCCUGGCCUCUGCACACCUCAGGCUCUGUCUGGGGCACGUGGUCGGAGGGGGUGCCCCCCAGCCCCCCCCAGCCCUCGCCAGGGAGGAUGCCCACCCUCGUCCAACCCAGACAAAACCUGCUGUUCCCAGUGUUACCGUAGGAACAGAUUCAGGACAGGGCUGAGCUCCUCCUCCCUGGUAACUUGGAGAUCCCGAAGACAGCUGGCAUUCUGCUAGGCCCCUGCCGUGCCGAGGCAUCCGAUGGCAAAGGGCACUGCACCUGAGCACAGCACUGCCACUUGUCACCCAGGGGACAGGGCCCUGUGCUCCCAGGACUGUCAAGCACAUUCUGGAUGCUUUACUGCUACUAAGGUUGGCGGGGGGAGGGGGGGGAGCUGCUGGGGGAGGGAGUCAGACUAUGAACAUGUUAAAAGUCAGGGGGGGUGUAAAGUUACUGCACAUAAAUAUUCUGCAAACAGCUGCCUAGAAUAUUCCUUAUAUUGGAAAGUAUGCUUUGAGGUCAUUACUCAGGAUUUUAUAGGCCGUUUCUUGGCUGAGCCCCAGGAUGGCUUAUGGCUUUGCAAAAAGGCGACGCCACGUUUUAUGAAUGACAGGUGGCUUUUAUCACACCUCUGCAUUAUCGCUAUGGUAAUAGGGCUGUGGCGAUGCCCUGCGGCCGGGGGCACCUGAGCGGGUGCAGCGGGCACAGCCUGCAGGUCUGGCCUUGAUUAAGGGUCCCCGGACGACACUGACUGAGGUCCAUUUCCCAGUCUGUUUUCCUGCCAGUGGAGUCAGUGCCGCAGAACAGCUGCUGGUGCCCCUGUAUCUGGGCACAGCCCUGAGGCACAGCCCUGAGGCGGGCCGGCCUCCGCGGGGAUUGGCUGCCACCCCCCCCCAACCCGAGGGCCCCGCACUGAGGUCUUUGUCCUUCCUCCUCCCUCCUCUGCCCAGUGGCCAUCUGCAUGGACCGAGCUGACCAACCUCCUCUGUCUAUCGGGAGGCGAAAUCAAUUCCUGUUUGUUGAGCUCUUCCAAUGCAGGCCUGUGUCUAGUGGUCAAGACCAAAGAGCCCGUUCUCUCCUGUCUCACUCCCCUGCUGGCUCCCUGCCCUGAACCUCCCAGACCACCCUCCCCACACCCAUGGCCGGGUGACCUCUCUUCCCAUCAGUCUGAGCAGAGCCUGCUCCUGGCUGUCCCCCAGAUGGGAUCUGACCAUGGUCCACGCCGAUGCCCUUAAGGCAAUCUUGAGAAUGCAGGUGCAGAGACUUGGAUGUUCCCAGAGGCCGCAACAAUUUGGACAUAAAUACAGGAAAAGGAAAGUGGAGGUGCAGGGCCAAGGGGUGGAGGCACACGGGACGCCCACAGUGACUCCACAGCAACGCUGACGCCUUUGGGUCCAGGUCCCUGUGCUCCAGGGCUGGUUCCCCUCGGCUGCCCACACACCUCACUCUGCCGACGGGCUUGGGGGAAGCCAGGAGUUUUGGAGUCUGGCCUUCCCAGCACGGGCUGCCCAGGGAUCUGGAAUUGCUCUGCUCUGAUUCUGGCCUUGGGUUUGGCCACAGGCCAGCACUGCAGGGCGGCUGAGGCCCAGGUGCCAGCUGGGGGCAUGCAUUCCUGACUUCCUGGGAGGUGACCACUGGAUCCAUGCAGCUUGCAGAAGGGCCCUGGCCUUUGGACUGUGAUGUGGCACCACCACUGGGGAGACCCCAGAGGGAGGGGGGCGGCCCUGCGCAGCGGCCCGGCCCGGCCCGAGCCUGCACCACGGACCCAAUCCUGCUUGAUGAACCAGGGACAAAGUCGGUGUUUGGAAUCUGGUCGAUGCCAUUUUAAAAACUUAACAGACUAAAAUCAGUGAAUGUGAAAGAGGCCGACUGUCCGUCCUGCCUUCUACGCUCUGGCCCCGAGCUCCGCCACCCCUCGGGGUUUCUGUAGGUAAACCAGGUGGUGAGACCCAGGCCUGCAGGAAGGGUUAUUGCCACUGCACCUCCCUGAAGCUCCUGCUUUGCCCGCAGGGCCAGCGCGGUGGGCACGGGCUGGCCCGGCUCCGGGCAGGGUGCCUAAGAAGGGGUCCGAGUCCACUCAGGUGGCUGGAGGUUGGACGUCUGAGACCAAGUCGCCACCCCCCAUAUUUGAUGUCUGGUGAGGACUCACGUCCUGAUCACUACACUGCUGUCUUCCCCCUGUGCCCUCACGUGGCCGACAGGACAGAAGGGCUCUCUGGGGUCUCUUCGUUUUUCUCUCUCUUU